GGGGGUGACCAGGUUUCGACGGGUUUAGCGAGGAGUUGUCGGCGUGCCGGGGAUGUCUGGAGCCCCGUUACCAAUUCAGGCAAACCGAUAAAUGGCGAAGCUAAUUUCGCUAUGGCUGCCUAAGAGAGAAUCUUAGGUUCAGCCCGUCGCGCCCGAUUUUGUCUUUCGGGUCGGGAGCCGCGGCGUCGAUGACGGAAGGCUCGGUCGGCUGAUGUCUCUAAAGCGGGCUUAAAGCUCAGAGGCUGGCUUCGGCGGUGGCCUGUCGAUCGGCAGC
rnacentral:tmRNA from 1 species